UUGUACCGGACCUUUUGAUUC
rnacentral:piRNA from 1 species